rnacentral:rRNA from 1 species
ACAUGCAAGUCGAACGCACAGCGAAAGGUGCUUGCACCUUUCAAGUGAGUGGCGAACGGGUGAGUAACACGUGGACAACCUGCCUCAAGGCUGGGGAUAACAUUUGGAAACAGAUGCUAAUACCGAAUAAAACUUAGUAUCGCAUGAUACCAGGUUAAAAGGCGCUACGGCGUCACCUAGAGAUGGAUCCGCGGUGCAUUAGUUAGUUGGUGGGGUAAAGGCCUACCAAGACAAUGAUGCAUAGCCGAGUUGAGAGACUGAUCGGCCACAUUGGGACUGAGACACGGCCCAAACUCCUACGGGAGGCUGCAGUAGGGAAUCUUCCACAAUGGGCGAAAGCCUGAUGGAGCAACGCCGCGUGUGUGAUGAAGGCUUUCGGGUCGUAAAGCACUGUUGUAUGGGAAGAAAAGUUAAGGUAGGGAAUGACCUUAGCCUGACGGUACCAUACCAGAAAGGGACGGCUAAAUACGUGCCAGCAGCCGCGGUAAUACGUAUGUCCCGAGCGUUAUCCGGAUUUAUUGGGCGUAAAGCGAGCGCAGACGGUUGGUUAAGUCUGAUGUGAAAGCCCGGAGCUCAACUCCGGAAAGGCAUUGGAAACUGGUUAACUUGAGUGCAGUAGAGGUAAGUGGAACUCCAUGUGUAGCGGUGGAAUGCGUAGAUAUAUGGAAGAACACCAGCGGCGAAGGCGGCUUACUGGACUGUAACUGACGUUGAGGCUCGAAAGUGUGGGUAGCAAACAGGAUUAGAUACCCUGGUAGUCCACACCGUAAACGAUGAACACUAGGUGUUAGGAGGUUUCCGCCUCUUAGUGCCGAAGCUAACGCAUUAAGUGUUCCGCCUGGGGAGUACGACCGCAAGGUUGAAACUCAAAGGAAUUGACGGGGACCCGCACAAGCGGUGGAGCAUGUGGUUUAAUUCGAAGCAACGCGAAGAACCUUACCAGGUC